UUAGACUUAGCGGCGGACGGGUGGGUAACGCGUGGGUAACCUGCCUUACACUGGGGGAUAACCGUUAGAAAUGACUGCUAAUACCGCAUAAGCGCACAGGGCUGCAUGGCCUGGUGUGAAAAACUCCGGUGGUGUAAGAUGGACCCGCGUCUGAUUAGGUAGUUGGUGGGGUAACGGCCCACCAAGCCGACGAUCAGUAGCCGACCUGAGAGGGUGACCGGCCACAUUGGGACUGAGACACGGCCCAA
rnacentral:rRNA from 1 species